rnacentral:misc_RNA from 1 species
CAGAGUUCGUGCCCUUCGGGGUAGACCUCCCACCCUUUGUAUACCUACCUUUGUUGCUUUGGCGGGCCGUCGCAAGACCGGCGGCUUCGGCUGUCGUGUGCCCGCCAGAGGACCCCAAACUCUGAAUACAGUGUCGUCUGAGUACUAUAUAAUAGUUA